GAUAAAAGUGUAAGGGCUUGGCUUGAUUCAAGAAUCUCUGAAGAUUUAUUACCAUAUACAGUCGGGGCUUAUUCCUCUCAUGCACUCUGGAUGAUCCUGGAGAAGCAGUUUGUUGGUGCUUCAAGUUGUCACUUUGAUUUAGGUGUGUACUGAUCCUCCCUCUGUGGAUGAAUUACAUUUACUACUGUUUUGUAAACUGAAGUAGAUUGAGUCAGUUACCAAAAUUGUGCGCCAUACUUCUUGAGUCCUUUGAAAAGCCGGACUCUAAGAAAUUAUGGAACUCAAAAAUUGCUAUGAGUUCUGAAUUAGUCUACCAUGUUCUGCAGUCAAGUAAAUUAAGUCAGUUAACAAAAAUGAGAGAUCGAUUAUUUAAAAUAAAAUAAAAGACUAGAAGAAAGUUUUACUUAAUAAAAUCCAAGUGAGAAACUACAAGAUGGUUGACAAAUUUGUUGUUAGAUUUUGGACUCUGCGCAGAGCUCAAUGAACAAGUUUUAAGACCUCUUAACAUUUGUUCGUUUGUAUUCUAUCUCAUUAACAUGCCCUCUAAAAGAAGGAAGAAAUUUAUCUUCCUGGCUCAUAAUUGAUUUUCAUGGUUUGACUGGUGAUGGUCUGAAGGUCUGUUUUUUACGUUUCGGUUGAAUUUUGUAGGGGACUUGGAAUCUACUGGUGAAGAAGUUGGACUUUUCUUCAGCAAACUAUCAGCUGUUGUAGGUUCUAGUUUGUCACCAGAAGUUACCACAAAUUCGUUUUCCACGAAGGCAAGUUAUGGGAAUUUCAGUGGAAGUGUUUUCUAAAUUCUUUAGACCAAAUGGGAAAGCAAUGUCUUAGGGAAGAUGUUUUCCAUGUAAACAGAUAAAAAUAUAUAAAUGAAGCUAUUUCAAGGACAAUGGCGUGGCGAAAAGUUUAAAGGCAUUAUCCCAAAUGGUCAUUUCAGUUGCACAAGGUGAAAUGAUCAUCGAGUUUUAUACAUCAUCCCUCGUGCUAAUCGGACUUUGGUUAUUGGUUGUUGUGGAAAACUUUUGCUAUUUGAAUUCAAAAGAAAAUCAGAGAUGGGGAGGUUGAGUGUGG
rnacentral:lncRNA from 1 species